UGCCCUAUCAACUGUUUUAAAAAGAUGGUUCUGCUAUCACUCUUGGGAUGGGACCUGCGGUGCAUUAGCUAGUUGGUAGGGUAACGGCCUACCAAGGCGAUGAUGCAUAGCCGAGUUGAGAGACUGAUCGGCCACAUUGGGACUGAGACACGGCCCAAACUCCUACGGGAGGCAGCAGUAGGGAAUCUUCCACAAUGGACGCAAGUCUGAUGGAGCAACGCCGCGUGAGUGAAGAAGGGUUUCGGCUCGUAAAGCUCUGUUGUUGGUGAAGAAGGACAGGGGUAGUAACUGACCUUUGUUUGACGGUAAUCAAUUAGAAAGUCACGGCUAACUACGUGCCAGCAGCCGCGGUAAU
rnacentral:rRNA from 1 species